GACGAACGCUGGCGGCGUGCCUAAUACAUGCAAGUUGAGCGAUGAAGAUUGGUGCUUGCACCAAUUUGAAGAGCAGCGAACGGGUGAGUAACGCGUGGGGAAUCUGCCUUUGAGCGGGGGACAACAUUUGGAAACGAAUGCUAAUACCGCAUAACAACUUUAAACAUAAGUUUUAAGUUUGAAAGAUGCAAUUGCAUCACUCAAAGAUGAUCCCGCGUUGUAUUAGCUAGUUGGUGAGGUAAAGGCUCACCAAGGCGAUGAUACAUAGCCGACCUAGAGGGUGAUCGGCCACAUUGGGACUGAGACACGGCCCAAACUCCUACGGGAGGCAGCAGUAGGGAAUCUUCGGCAAUAGACGAAAGUCUGACCGAGCAACGCCGCGUGAGUGAAGAAGGUUUUCGGAUCGUAAAACUCUGUUGGUAGAGAAGAACGUUGGUGAGAGUGGAAAGCUCAUCAAGUGACGGUAACUACCCAGAAAGGGACGGCUAACUACGUG
rnacentral:rRNA from 1 species